GGACAUUUGCAGCAGAGUGAACAAUGGAGAAGCAGCAGAUGAGGCCAGAAAUACACUCCGGAGCAAAAACUGUAGAGCCUUAAAGAUCAUGUCCUAUGCUUCCUGGAUACAUGGCAGUCAGCCUUUGAUCUUGGUGCCUCUGGAUAGCUGCAUGCUCCACUUUUCCAGCAGAUGAUUGACCAAAUAACAACAACAACAACAAAAAAAAAAAAUGAGCGCAAGAUAAAAUCAUGCUUGUCAACACUCAACUGAAAUUCAGAUAUCUACAAACAAAACCUCAUCUUCAAAGAGAUAGUGGAAAUAUGAAGAAUGCUUAUGUCAUUCUUGAAGCUUUAGCUAGAAGAGAACCUAAAGGAAGAUUGAAAAAAAAAUUAAUUUCCAUACUCCUAGAAGACCAAUUGUUCUUACAGCAAGGAUGGAAGUAGACACCAGAAUCAGUUUUAAAACUGUUUAAUCAAUAAAUAAGAAUUCUGUAGCUAUGGAGCCAUCAGAAUUGGUUUCAAACGUAUUUACUCAAAUCAAAGUCAACUUGUCUUUGUGAACAUACUUCUGCAAGCCAACCAAUUAUUGAAAACUACCUGCUCCUGAAGGUCAGCCGAUCAGGAAUGGGCUCAUUCCAAUGACCUGCUUCUGGAAGUAUACAAUCAAUAAGUCUUCCCCACACAAUCACACUUCAACCAUUGAUAAUAACUUAUUUACAACUCUAAACUUCCAUCAAUCUCUGAACUCCAUGCCUUUGAGUCCUAAUACAUGAUCAACAGUCUUUCCUGCUUAAAGAAACUUCGACUGAAAAACGUACCUCCUGUCUUAAAUCAGCACCUUGAACCUUCAUCCAUCUCAAGAAGACCAGCCUAAUGCAAGUGAUAAAAGUACAGAUAAAGAAGAUUUUUUAAAAGGAGAUUAAG